rnacentral:rRNA from 1 species
GACGAACGCUGGCGGCGUGCUUAACACAUGCAAGUCGAACGGAAAGGCCCUGCUUUUGUGGGGUGCUCGAGUGGCGAACGGGUGAGUAACACGUGAGUAACCUGCCCUUGACUUUGGGAUAACUUCAGGAAACUGGGGCUAAUACCGGAUAGGAGCUCCUGCUGCAUGGUGGGGGUUGGAAAGUUUCGGCGGUUGGGGAUGGACUCGCAGCUUAUCAGCUUGUUGGUGGGGUAGUGGCUUACCAAGGCUUUGACGGGUAGCCGGCCUGAGAGGGUGACCGGCCACAUGGGGACUGAGAUACGGCCCAGACUCCUACGGGAGGCAGCAGUGGGGAAUAUUGCACAAUGGGCGGAAGCCUGAUGCAGCAACGCCGCGUGCGGGAUGACGGCCUUCGGGUUGUAAACCGCUUUCGCCUGUGACGAAGCGUGAGUGACGGUAAUGGGUAAAGAAGCACCGGCUAACUACGUG